CAUUAUUUAUUCUAAUUAUUUGGUUCCGAAUCGAAUUCUAAUUAAAUUUACCAUAAUGUUGUAAAAAUCCUAAAUAACACGUAAUCUCGGUCAAUUUCGUGAUCAGAUGCCAAUAAGGCCUACAACGCGCAUAAUGAAACAGAAGCAUAGACAGAUCUUUCUACGACAGAUAGAUAUAAAUGCAAAUAACAUAUAACACAUGCAAUUAAUGUAGAAUUUCAUCUUAAUUACUUAUUAGGCCUUCUUAAUCAAAGAUCAUAAGCUAAUCAAAGGUCGGAGUUGUUACAAGUGUACAUGCUAACCAUCCAGAAUUUUUACAGACCAGGUGGUCCGCUUGAGCGACUUAUAGUGCGCUUGAGCAAAUUGCCCUGUUUCAGCAACUUUUGAAAAAUACUUUGAAGUACAUACUUCCAUUCUCAUGCACCUUUACGCAUUCUUGAGCAUUGUUUAGACAUCAUUCAAAAUGGAGUAAGCUGGAAAUACAAUUAAGGAAAUUGAAUUAAGAUAUAGUGUUUGUUUAGUCAAUGUGUUUCAAUGUGUAUUGCUAUGUGCUUUGUGUAGGUUGAUCGCCCGAAGCAUAAUGUCGAUACAAGCCCACUGUGAGCAUGUAGAUCAUCAAGUUUAAGAGUUGCUUUGGGAAUCCACCCUUUUUGAGAAGCCAAACCGGAAAUGCAUCCAUGAUAGGGCGUUACUUGGUCUCUAGAGGAGCCAAGUCUUUGUCAACCCUUUGUAUAGUCUUUUUGUUUUUUCUUUUGGAAUUGUGAAACAAGUUAUAUGUAUGAAGUUGAAAUUGAAUCUUGUUGUAAAUAUUAUUAUUAUGGUAUGAUGAAGGACUUGUUCUAUUUA